GGUAUAGGCAUGUGCUUCUUUAGAACUGAAUUACCAGCCACCCGUGACGUUCAUCGUCGUACAAAAACGACAUCACACCCAACUGUUUGCCAACAACCAUAGAGACAGAAGUAGCACAGACAGGAGUGGAAACAUUUUACCUGGCACCGUAGUCGACUCCAAAAUAUGCCACCCGACAGAAUUUGAUUUCUAUCUUUGUAGCCAUGCUGGAAUUCAGGGGACAAGCCGACCAGCUCAUUACCAUGUUCUUUGGGAUGAAAACAAUUUUACAGCAGAUGGGAUUCAGUCCUUAACCAAUAAUCUUUGCUACACGUAUGCAAGGUGUACGCGUUCGGUUUCUAUCGUCCCUCCAGCAUACUAUGCACAUUUAGCAGCAUUCCGAGCUCGAUUCUACAUGGAACCAGAGAUGCAAGAGAAUGGCACGAGCGGUGGUUCUGCUAAGAGUGCGACCGGGGUUCGCCCUUUGCCAGCUCUAAAGGAAAAUGUGAAGAGAGUAAUGUUUUACUGUUAGAAAUCGGAACCACCAAGCAAAGGGGAGGCUCGUAGUCGGAGCGAUGACCGG